UACGUAGGGUCCGAGCGUUGUCCGGAUUUAUUGGGCGUAAAGAGCUCGUAGGCGGUUUGUCACGUCUGCUGUGAAAACUGGAGGCUCAACCUCCAGCCUGCAGUGGGUACGGGCAGACUAGAGUGCGGUAGGGGAGAAUGGAAUUCCUGGUGUAGCGGUGGAAUGCGCAGAUAUCAGGAGGAACACCGGUGGCGAAGGCGGGUCUCUGGGCCGAUACUGACGCUGAGGAGCGAAAGCAUGGGUAGCGAACAGG
rnacentral:rRNA from 1 species